GAGCAGGAUUAGUAAUGGCGGCGUGUGGGGAGCCCGGGAGGCCCUGGCAGGAGGAGGAGGCAGCAGCGGUGGUAGUGGUGGGUUCCUGCAUGACCGACCUGGUCAGUCUUACUUCUCGCUUGCCAAAAACUGGAGAAACCAUCCAUGGACAUGAGUUUUUUAUUGGCUUUGGAGGAAAAGGUGCCAACCAGUGUGUCCAAGCUGCGCGACUGGGAGCAAAGGCGGCCAUAGUCUGCAAGGUUGGCAACGAUUCUUUUGGCAAUGAUUACAUAGAAAACUUAAAACAAAAUCAUAUUUCUACAGAGUUUACAUAUCAGACCAGAGAUGCAGCUACAGGAACAGCCUCCAUAAUUGUCAAUAAUGAAGGCCAGAAUAUCAUCGUCAUAGUGGCUGGAGCAAAUCUGUUUUUGAAUUCUGAAGACUUGAAGAAGGCAGCCAGUGUCAUUAGCCGAGCCAAAGUGAUGAUAUGCCAGCUAGAAAUAAGCCCGGCAGCUUCUCUGGAAGCUCUGACAAUGGCCCGCAGGAGUGGAGUGAAAACCUUGUUCAACCCAGCUCCAGCCAUGGCUGACCUGGACCCCCAGUUCUAUACCCUCUCCAGUAUUUUCUGCUGCAACGAGAGCGAGGCUGAGAUUUUAACAGGCCACGCAGUGAGUGACCCCACCACGGCUGGGAAGGCUGCAAUGAUUCUCCUAGAACGGGGCUGCCAGGUUGUGGUCAUCACCUUAGGGGCUUCAGGAUGCGUGAUACUGUCACAGGCUGAGCCUGUUCCAAAGCACAUUCCCACUGAAGCUGUCAAGGCUGUAGACACCACGCAACAUCCCAUGCUCAGAAGCUGGCUUAGAAGGUCCUUUGUGAGCAGGGCCAACCUCAGCAUAGAACAGCAGCCCUGUGGGGACAAGUGAGAAGCCCGAGCUGCUUCUGGAGAUUAGUGACCGGCUUGAGAGCAAGAGUUGCUGCAGUCCGCUGUCUCUAGGACUGCUCUCCAGAGCAUGGCAGACUCCUCACCACCUACAGUGAAGACAUCCAGAGAAAGAUGAAGUCAGAGGGUGCUGGUGACAGUUUUGUGGGAGCGCUGGCCUUCUACCUGGCUUACUACCCAAAUCUGUCCUUGGAAGAAAUGCUCAAGAGAUCCAAUUUCAUCGCUGCAGUCAGUGUACAGGCCACGGGAACACAGUCCUCUUAUCCAUACAAAAAAGACCUCCCUCUUGCUCUAUUUUGACUACUGCUAACCCCCAAAUAAAUACAAUCUGGAAAGUAAA